rnacentral:rRNA from 1 species
UACGUAGGGUGCGAGCGUUGUCCGGAAUUAUUGGGCGUAAAGAGCUCGUAGGCGGUGUGUCACGUCGGCCGUGAAAACCUGCAGCUUAACUGUGGGCGUGCGGUCGAUACGGGCAUCACUGGAGUUCGGCAGGGGAGACUGGAAUUCCUGGUGUAGCGGUGAAAUGCGCAGAUAUCAGGAGGAACACCGGUGGCGAAGGCGGGGUCUCUGGGGCCGAUACUGACGCUGAGGCGCGGAAAAGCCCAGGGGGAGCAAAACGGGG